rnacentral:rRNA from 1 species
UCGGGAAUUUUGGGCAAUGGGCGAAAGCCUGACCCAGCAACGCCGCGUGAAGGAUGAAGUAUUUCGGUAUGUAAACUUCGAAAGAAUAGGAAGAAUAAAUGACGGUACUAUUUAUAAGGUCCGGCUAACUACGUGCCAGCAGCCGCGGUAAUACGUAGGGACCAAGCGUUGUUCGGAUUUACUGGGCGUAAAGGGCGCGUAGGCGGCAAUUCAAGUCAUCUGUGAAAUCUCCGGGCUUAACUCGGAACGGUCAGAUGAUACUGCUUUGCUAGAGUGCAGAAGGGGCAAUCGGAAUUCUUGGUGUAGCGGUGAAAUGCGUAGAUAUCAAGAGGAACACCUGAGGUGAAGACGGGUUGCUGGGCUGACACUGACGCUGAGGCGCGAAAGCCAGGGGAGCAAACGGGAUUAGAUACCCCGUAGUCCCUGAGCGGGCUGGCAAGGCGCAU